AUUUUCCUAAAGGUGAACAUGUCCAGCAUGCAUCUACUGGCCAUGUGCAUUUCAACAUUUGAGAAGUAUCUGUUUAUUCAUCUUGCCCAAUUGCUAGUUGAACUAUUUGGCUCUUGUGUUUAGUUUUUGAGGUUUAAAGAAUCAUUCUAGAUUCCUGCCAGAUGUCUAAGGACAAAGAUUUUUCUCCCAUUCAAUAGGCUCUUUCUUCAUAGUUGUUUGCUUACAGAAGAUUUUUAGUUUGACGGCAUCUCAUUUGGCAAUGCUUAAAUUGAUUUCCUAAGUUACUGGAGUCAUUUCCAGAAAGCUGGGCAUUCACAUUGAAUCUGACCUGCCCCACCCACCUUCCUCUGAGUUACUGUGACAGGCUGUGGUAAAGCAUAACCAUCCAUGUAUGCUCAUCGUGGAGUAGAAAAUCAUUGCACUUGGGGAAGCAGCUACAUUUAUAAAAGCAAACUGAAAUACAGUGUCGUUUUAAGGAGUCUAUUUGAUCAAGCAGCAGUUCAUGAGAAGUAUAACCCUGGAUCAGAAGUGGUUCAGGAGUUUCAACAGAGGGAUUCUGGUGAAGGGUGACACAAGAUGAAGAAGAGAAUAAAGCAGAGAAGACGCACAGUUGAUUACACUUUGCAUUUAUAAGAACGGGCCCUGGUUAAGGGCUUUUUAUAUCCAUAAACCCAGCAAGGAUGAGGUUUCUCUCUCUUCUUUGUGACUACGGUUGAGGAUGUGAUCUCUCAGCUUCCUGCUCCAGCCACCAUGUCCGAUGUCCUGCCUCGCAGCUAUGAUGGACUCUUAUCCUUCUGGAACCAUAAG